UUUAUUGGAUUGAUAUUAUGUGGAUAACUGUGGCAAUUCUAGAGCUAAUACAUGCAAUAAGACUCUGACCGUAAGGAAAGAGUGCUUUUAUUAGAUUAAAACCAGUCAAACCAAUGGUUUGAAAUUAUGGUGACUCUGGAAAACAUAGUUGAUCGCAUAGCCUUGUGCUAGCGACAUAUCUUAUAAAUGUCUGCCCUAUCAACUUGUGAUGGUAGGUGAUAUGCCUACCAUGGUUAUAACGGGUAACGGAGAAUCAGGGUUUGAUUCCGUAGAGGGAGCAUGAGAAACGGCUACCACAUCCAAGGAAGGCAGCAGGCGCGCAAAUUACCCACUCCCGGUACGGGGAGGUAGUGACGAAAAUAACAAUACGAGCCUUUGUUAAGGCCUCGUAAUUGGAAUGGGAACAAUUUAAGUCCUUUAUCAAGGAUCAAUUGGAGGGCAAGUCUGGUGCCAGCAGCCGCGGUAAUUCCAGCUCCAAUAGCGUAUACUAAAGUUGUUGCGUUUAAACAGCUCGUAGUUGGAUCUCGGGUACAAUACUGUGGUCUCCCUAAUGGUUGUACUGCAGUAUUACCCUGUUAGCUAGUUGUUUCUCAGUGCUCUUAAUUCUAAUAAUUCUAAUAAUUCUAGCGCUUUUACUUUGAAAAAAUUAGAGUGCUCAGAGCAAGCGUUGUGCUCGAAUAUCGUUGCAUGGAAUAAUAAAAUAUGACCUUUGGUCUAUUUUGUUGGUUUUCGGAACAGAGGUAAUGAUUAAGAGGGACAGACGGGGACAUUCGUAUUCCGCCGUUAGAGGUGAAAUUCUUGGAUCGGCGGAAGACGAACUACGGCGAAAGCAUUUGUCAAGAAUGUAUUCAUUGAUCAAGAACGAAAGUCAGAGGUUCGAAGGCGAUCAGAUACCGCCCUAGUUCUGACCAUAAACGAUGCCAACUGGCGAUCUGUCACAGUUACUAUAAUGACUUGACAGGCAGCUUUCGGUCGGAAAACCAAAGUGUUUGGGCGACGGGGGAAGUAUGGCUGCAAAGCUGGAACUUAAAGGAAUUGACGGAACAGCACCACCAGGAGUGGAGCCUGCGGCUUAAUUUGACUCAACACGGGAAAUCUCACCCGGCCCGGACACUGUAAGGAUUGACAGAUUGAGAGCUCUUUCUU
rnacentral:rRNA from 1 species